AAUUAAAAAUUUCAUCCAUUUUUACUAUAAAAAACUAGCAUGACUAACAAAAUAACUAAAAAAUUAUACAUGGCACAUCAUAUGUACCGCAUUCUGACGUAUUGGGUUUAGUUUUUAACGAUAGAAAUGGAUGAAAUUUUUAACA
rnacentral:pre_miRNA from 1 species